rnacentral:rRNA from 1 species
UACGUAGGGUGCAAGCGUUAUCCGGAAUUAUUGGGCGUAAAGAGCUCGUAGGCGGUUUGUCGCGUCGGCCGUGAAAACCUGCAGCUUAACUGUGGGCUUGCGGUCGAUACGGGCAUCACUGGAGUUCGGCAGGGGAGACUGGAAUUCCUGGUGUAGCGGUGAAAUGCGCAGAUAUCAGGAGGAACACCGGUGGCGAAGGCGGGUCUCUGGGCCGACCCUGACGCUGAGGCGCGAAGGCGUGGGGAGCGAACGGG